UAACUAAUGAGCCCCUCACACGGGGUGGACCUGUGGGGUUCAGACGGAAGGGGCUGCACUGACUGAUGCAACACCUCCAGCAUUUGAGCGGUUUGUGGACAUCAUCAUCACAAAACUGUGGAGUGGGUUGGCUGUGCUAACUGCCGACCGAGCACUGGAAGAAGAAAACGGCAGGCUCAGGACAGCCAGCUGGCAUGGGAGCCAGAGGACCUCUAUGGCGGUGAUGAGGGGCCUUCACACCCAGCAGCCAGCGGGCAGGCGAGAUCCGAGGGUGACGAACUGAAGCUCAGCGAGACUAACUAACUCAUCCAAUUUGAUGUGGCCCAGGAGAGGAGGAACACUGCAGCGAAGCAAAACAGAAAAGAAGUAACAAAUAGGCCAGCAGGCACAUGCGCUGGGGGUCCUCUUUGUCUUUUUACACCCAGCGUCUAGAACAAUCGUGGCCCAUUACACUGCAGAUGCUCAAUUAACACCUGCUACAUUCCUGAAACUCGAGCCCCAGAAUCCUGAGACUGGAAUAUAAAACACAAGAUAUUACAUAAAAGAGGCCACCACAAGAUUAUUUUGAUUACUCCUUUACUUGGAGAGUUUUCUUUAAAAUCAAC
rnacentral:lncRNA from 1 species